rnacentral:rRNA from 1 species
AGGACGAACGCUGGCGGCGUGCUUAACACAUGCAAGUCGAGCGGCAGCACGGGUACUUGUACCUGGUGGCGAGCGGCGGACGGGUGAGUAAUGCCUAGGAAUCUGCCUGGUAGUGGGGGAUAACGCUCGGAAACGGACGCUAAUACCGCAUACGUCCUACGGGAGAAAGCAGGGGACCUUCGGGCCUUGCGCUAUCAGAUGAGCCUAGGUCGGAUUAGCUAGUUGGUGGGGUAAUGGCUCACCAAGGCGACGAUCCGUAACUGGUCUGAGAGGAUGAUCAGUCACACUGGAACUGAGACACGGUCCAGACUCCUACGGGAGCAGCAGUGGGAAUA